GACGAACGCUGGCGGCGUGCUUAACACAUGCAAGUCGAGCGGUAAGGCCCUUUCGGGGGUACGACGAGCGGCGAACGGGUGAGUAACACGUGGGUGACCUCGCCCUCCAGCUCUGGGAGUAAGCCUGGGAAACUAGGGUCUAAUACUGGAUAUGACUCCACGGUGCAUGUCGGUGGGGUGGAAAGCCUUGUGCGGCUGAGGAUGGGCCCGCGGCCUAUCAGCUUGUUGGUGGGGUGAGGCCUACCAAGGCGACGACGGGUAGCCGGCCUGAGACGGGCGACCGGCCACACUGGGACUGAGACACGGCCCAGACUCCUACGGGAGGCAGCAGUGGGGAAUCUUGCGCAAUGGGCGAAAGCCUGACGCAGCGACGCCGCGUGAGGGAUGACGGCCU
rnacentral:rRNA from 1 species